rnacentral:rRNA from 1 species
UUUGCGGCCCCGGUUCCUCCCGGGCUACGCCUGUCUGAGGGUCGCUUGAC